rnacentral:misc_RNA from 1 species
UGGUUCUGGCAUCGAUGAAGAACGCAGCGAAAUGCGAUAAGUAAUGUGAAUUGCAGAAUUCAGUGAACCAUCGAAUCUUUGAACGCACAUUGCGCCCGCCGGUAUUCCGGCGGGCAUGCCCGUCCGAGCGUCAUUUCAAACCUCAAGCCCCGCUUGGUGCUGGGAGCCCACGGCUGCCGUGGCCCCCCGAAACGAGUGGCGGGCUCGCCCUGAUCCCUAGCGCAGUAGCGAUACCUCGCCUGGGCCGAUCGGCGCGCCCUGCCGUUAAACCCCCCACCAGCCGGGGGAGCACUGCUCCCCCGCGACCUUGACCUCGGAUCGGGUAGGAAUACCCGCUGA